rnacentral:tRNA from 1 species
UGUACCUUAGUUGUAGAGUGCUUGCCUGGCAUGCAGAAGGCCUGGGUUCAAUCCCCAGCA